UAAGAGCCUUGCAUUGUAGAUGCCCUUAUCUCCGCUGAUUCAUCUCUCCCAUCGGCCUGGAUCCCCUAACCUCUCUCCUCCGAUCCUCCCCUGUGGAGACGUUCUCCAUGCCUCUCCAUGCGCCCCCGCAUCCAUGGGUCUCCGUCGCCAGCGCGGCUCCGCGCCUCAUCUGGUAUGGCUGCUCGGCGUCUUCGCACGCGCGGGAGCUGAAUUGCGCUCGACGGUGCUGCUCCGCCUCGGCUACAUCGACUUCGACGCCGACGGUUCGGAAAGAGGGAAGCACCACAAUGAACUGCAGUCGAGUUCGAGGAAUAAUUGUUCUUAUAAUGCAAUUUGGGCUCUGUUAAUUGGUGAAUUCUAUUUUAGAAGUCCACUUUUAUAGGGAAAAAGGGUGCUGUUCAAAGAAUUAGGUAGCUUGCCUGAAUUCUUCUUGUGGGAGUUGUGCAGAAUCCAGGACAAUUUGUCUCCCCAUAACCACUUUGGUGUCCUGUUAUGGAACAAGUUAUACACCACUCUGCUGGCUUAGUAAAUAGAAAACCCCGACAAGACCCUCUUUAUGGUAUCUCUAAUUCGGAUCCACGCUCAAGAAGGAAUACAGGUAGAGCUACUGUUGACUUCCUCUAUAUAUGUGUAUUGCAGGAACAUUAGUACUGUUUAAAUUUUGUUCUGUUAACGAAAAUAGUUCAAACUAUGUGUAUGGGAUGUCCCAACAGUGCAAAGAUGUGUAUGACCUGUGUAUAUCUCUAGAUAUCUCUUCGAGUUCGAUUACAAAACAUGCUGAUGUACUCAAGUGAUAUCGGCGUUUUUGAAC